rnacentral:lncRNA from 1 species
GACGGCACUGCUGGGAGGCGGCGGCGACAACGACGGCGGUGACAACGACGGCGGCGGUGACGGGCGCCGCGCCGGGGGUAAAGCACCAUAUCCCACUUGAACUCUGCAUCCAGGAAGCCCAGGAUUGAAGACAAAAGAUCAGAGACAUUGACUAACCUGGAAACAGGGACAUCUUUGGAACUUUAUCUACAGUAAUCUUUUAAACUGUCGUCAGGUGAAAUCAGCUUCAUCUUAUUCUGCUUAUUGAAAAGGACAUGGCUUCAAGGAUUUUAAAUUUCCUUUUAGUUUUUCAUGAACUUGAUGGGAAACGGAGCCCUUAAAAGGCGUGAUAAUAACAAGAAAAGAUUGAAAACAGGCAAUACUGCUGUCUGUUUUUUCUCCCCAUUCAAAGAAAAGGAUUUACAACUCAACCCUGUAACAGCUAUU